AUGAAUCAUAUUUGAACCAUUGUUAUGAACUAAAAGAAACAUCAAAUAAUUAAUAAAGAUAUCUCUCGAUAUAUAUCAUCACUUGUAUACAUCAAUGAGAAAGCAUCAUCAUCCACGACAUGUUUGCCAAAGAAAAAAAAGCCUGCUAGCUAGUAAUGUAUUUGCUACUGGUAGACAAUUAAACGUUCAAUCAGCAUGUACAUAUGCCCAAGAAAACAACAUCAACGAAGUGAUCGGCUGCCAAGUAGCAACAAGAUCAGUGCACCAGUUCCAUAUUGACUGGGAAAAACUCCCAAAAAAUAUCCCUUCAUCACCUGAACCAAGCCCCAUGUUUAAUCCUUGGGCAGAAACACGUGAGGUUACAUUAUGUUCCUGAAAAUAGUAGUGACAAGCAGCUUAGCAUUUUGAUGUAAAACAUGAACAUUUCGUAUGAAUUUUGGCAGCAUAACAUAUGUAAAUUAAACAAUAUGGCUAUAAGAAAAUAGGGUAUGCCAAAUUAAUCAAAAUCAAACACAAAUGAGAUAACAACAACAACAACACACACACACACGUGCUAACAUCGCACAUCGCACUUGUAUCAUCUAUUAUCUUAGGCAAACAAAAUGCAAAAAAUCAUCAAUAUCCUAUUCAUUAGCAACCAUUAGGAUGAUUUAAAGGAUAUUAGUUGCUACAUGAAGUCCAAGAGAGAUCAAUAUUUUGUGAUGCAACACUAUAUGAAAAGAAAUGACAAAUAUAUUAACCAAAAGCUUCCUCUAAUUAUAAAUACUAAUCAGCUACCCUUGCAGGCACACAUGCUAGCACAUGGAAAUGAGGAAACAGAUCUGAAUAAAUAGCAUGUAUUCAUCCGUAGAUGCAAAAAAGGUGAAGCUUAUCCAUAUAUCCGCCAAAGAUGAAGUAGGAAUAAGAUAACUGUGCAUCCAUCAACAAAAUUAUGCACUCAAUAACAAAAUUGGCCGACAAAACCAAGCAAAUAUUAACACCUAACGCCAAUGGUCCCUAUGUCGGGUUGUCCCUACUUAAAUUUUCAUUCAAUUGAUCAAAGUGAAUCUUUCGAAUGUGACCACAUAAGAAAACCAUUGGCACUGCACAUGACAAAGAAUGAGAAAAAUAAGCUUACAAUUUAUGGUGUCCGGUCCAUUUGGGCCAACCUAAUGCCCUGCUUCAAAGGAAAGAAAUCAAAAACACAACUUCGAAAUGAUGAAGUCAUGUGCUUGUAUCUGCUAUUCAGCUUGUUCUCCUCAACUUCAAGUGCUGAAAAAUCCACAAAAAGGGAUCAAUCCUUUUGAAUGCGUGAGAAAAAAAUGAACAUUAGAUGGUUCUAACAUAAUAAAUUGAGGCCACUGAUCUAAGAAAAAGGAAGAAAAAACUAUAAGGCACAGAGGAUGCGUGCAUUCUCAUUGCUUGAUGUUGUGAAAAAAGUCAAUACAAACUUUGGAUCUCAGAUUCUUGUGACCCAC
rnacentral:lncRNA from 1 species